UCCAGACUCCUACGGGAGGCAGCAGUGGGGGAUAUUGGACAAUGGGGGGAACCCUGAUCCAGCGACGCCGCGUGAGUGAAGAAGUAUUUCGGUAUGUAAAGCUCUGUCAGCAGGGAAGAAAGAAAUGACGGUACCUGACCAAGAAGCCCCGGCUAACUACGUGCCAGCAGCCGCGGUAAUACGUAGGGGGCAAGCGUUAUCCGGAUUUACUGGGUGUAAAGGGAGCGUAGACGGCUGUGCAAGUCUGGAGUGAAAGGCAUGGGCUCAACCUGUGGACUGCUUUGGAAACUGUGCGGCUUGAGUGUCGGAGAGGCAAGUGGAAUUCCUAGUGUAGCGGUGAAAUGCGUAGAUAUUAGGAGGAACACCAGUGGCGAAGGCGGCUUACUGGACUGUAACUGACGUUGAGGCUCGAAAGCGUGGGGAGCAAACAGGAUUAGAUACCCCAGUAC
rnacentral:rRNA from 1 species